rnacentral:rRNA from 1 species
GAUUAACGCGAAGAACCUUACCUACCCUUGACAUGCCAGGAAGUUGGCCGAGAGGUCGAUGUGCCCGAAAGGGAACCUGGACACAGGUGCUGCAUGGCUGUCGUCAGCUCGUGUCGUGAGAUGUUGGGUUAAGUCCCGCAACGAGCGCAACCCUUGUCAUUAGUUGCUACAUUUAAGUUGGGCACUCUAAUGAGACUGCCGGUGACAAACCGGAGGAAGGUGGGGAUGACGUCAAGUCCUCAUGGCCCUUAUGGGUAGGGCCUCACACGUCAUACAAUGGCGCAUACAGAGGGUUGCCAACCCGCGAGGGGGAGCCAAUCCCAGAAAGUGCGUCGUAGUCCGGAUCGGAGUCUGCAACUCGACUCCGUGAAGUCGGAAUCGCUAGUAAUCGCGGAUCAGCAUGUCGCGGUGAAUACGUUCCCGGGCCUUGUACACACCGAAUCACUAGU